UGCAGAAUCAAAUAAUCAUUC
rnacentral:piRNA from 1 species